rnacentral:rRNA from 1 species
UUGGUUAAGUUAGAAAGGGCGCACGGUGGAUGCCUUGGCACUAGGAGCCGAAGAAGGACGGGACUAACACCGAUAUGCUUUGGGGAGCUGUACGUAAGCGUUGAUCCAGAGAUUUCCGAAUGGGGGAACCCACUAUCUUUAGUCGGAUAGUAUCCUUACGUGAAUACAUAGCGUGAGGAAGGCAGACCCAGGGAACUGAAACAUCUAAGUACCUGGAGGAAGAGAAAGAAAAAUCGAUUUCCUGAGUAGCGGCGAGCGAAACGGAAAGAGCCCAAACCAAGAAGCUUGCUUCUUGGGGUUGUAGGACACUCUAUACGGAGUUACAAAAGAAAGUUAUAAAUGAAGCGGUCUGGAAAGGCCCGCCAAAGACGGUAACAGCCCGGUAGUUGAAAUGGCUUUCCCUCCAGAGUGGAUCCUGAGUACGGCGGAACACGUGAAAUUCCGUCGGAAUCCGGGAGGACCAUCUCCCAAGGCUAAAUACUCCCUAGUGACCGAUAGUGAACCAGUACCGUGAGGGAAAGGUGAAAAGCACCCCGGAAGGGGAGUGAAACAGUUCCUGAAACCGUGUGCCUACAAGUAGUUAGAGCCCGUUAAUGGGUGAUAGCGUGCCUUUUGUAGAAUGAACCGGCGAGUUACGAUUUGUUGCAAGGUUAAGCGGAAAAAGCGGAGCCGUAGCGAAAGCGAGUCUGAAUAGGGCGCAUAAGUAACAGGUCGUAGACCCGAAACCAGGUGAUCUACCCAUGUCCAGGAUGAAGGUAAGGUAAUACUUACUGGAGGUCCGAACCCACGCACGUUGAAAAGUGCGGGGAUGAGGUGUGGGUAGCGGAGAAAUUCCAAUCGAACUUGGAGAUAGCUGGUUCUCUCCGAAAUAGCUUUAGGGCUAGCCUCGAGGUAAAGAGUCAUGGAGGUAGAGCACUGUUUGGACUAGGGGCCCUUCUCGGGUUACCGAAUUCAGAUAAACUCCGAAUGCCAUGUACUUAUACUCGGGAGUCAGACUGCGAGUGAUAAGAUCCGUAGUCGAAAGGGAAACAGCCCAGACCACCAGUUAAGGUCCCCAAAUAUAUGUUAAGUGGAAAAGGAUGUGGGGUUGCUUAGACAACCAGGAUGUUGGCUUAGAAGCAGCCACCAUUGAAAGAGUGCGUAAUAGCUCACUGGUCGAGUGACCCCGCGCCGAAAAUGUACCGGGGCUAAACAUAUUACCGAAACUGUGGAUGAACCUCUUUAGAGGUUCGUGGUAGGAGAGCGUUCUAAGGGCGGUGAAGUCAGACCGGAAGGACUGGUGGAGCGCUUAGAAGUGAGAAUGCCGGUAUGAGU